rnacentral:misc_RNA from 1 species
AACAUCGCGCACCUGCGGGAACCUGCGGAAGGAUCAUUACAGAGAUUGAUGCACCAAGUGCAUCACCUCCAACCCCUUGCGAAAACAACUAUCAUGUGUUGCUUUGGCAGUGUUCCCACUGCCAGAGGUUUACAUAAAAUCAGCUGUUUGGAUGUUGUCUGAGUAAACUAUAUGAAUUAUUUAAAACUUUCAACAACGGAUCU